GAUGAACGCUGGCGGCGUGCUUAACACAUGCCAGUCGAACGGAAAGGCCCAAGCUUGCUUGGGUACUCGAGUGGCGAACGGGUGAGUAACACGUGGGUGAUCUGCCCUGCACUUCGGGAUAAGCCUGGGAAACUGGGUCUAAUACCGGAUAGGACCACAUUUUGGAUGGUGUGGUGGAAAGUUUUUCGGUGUGGGAUGAGCUCGCGGCCUAUCAGCUUGUUGGUGGGGUAAUGGCCUACCAAGGCGUCGACGGGUAGCCGGCCUGGGAGGGUGUACGGCCACGUUGGGACUGGGACUCGGCCCAGACUCCUACGGGAGGCAGAAGGGGGGAAUAUUGCACAAGGGGCGCAAGCCUGAUGCAGCGACGCCGCGGGGGGGAGGACGGCCUUCGGGUUGUAAACUCCUUUCGCUAGGGACGAAGCGUUAUGUGACGGUACCUGGAUAGGAAGCACCGGCUAACUACGUG
rnacentral:rRNA from 1 species